GAGGGUACAGCUCAGUGGUAGAGCGCAUGCUUAGCAUGCACGAGGUCCUGGGUUCAAUCCCCAGUACCUCCA
rfam:Camelus ferus unplaced genomic scaffold scaffold338, whole genome shotgun sequence.